CCUACGGGAGGCAGCAGUGAGGAAUAUUGGUCAAUGGGCGGGAGCCUGAACCAGCCAAGUCGCGUGAAGGAAGAAGGUACUUAGUAGUGUAAACUUCUUUUGUCGGGGAACAACGGCGGAGACGCGUCUCCGGAUGAGUGUACCCGAAGAAAAAGCAUCGGCUAACUCCGUGCCAGCAGCCGCGGUAAUACGGAGGAUGCGAGCGUUAUCCGGCUUUAUUGGGUUUAAAGGGUGCGCAGGCGGGAGAUCAAGUCAGCGGUAAACUGUCGGGGCUCAACCCCGGCCGGCCGUUGAAACUGGUUUUUUAGAGUUGGAGAGAAGUAUGCGGAAUUCGUGGUGUAGCGGUGAAAUGCAUAGAUAUCACGAAGAACUCCGAUUGCGAAGGCAGCAUACCGGCUCCAUACUGACGCUGAGGCACGAAAGCGUGGGGAUCGAACAGGAUUAGAUACCCCUUGUAGUC
rnacentral:rRNA from 1 species